rnacentral:rRNA from 1 species
UACGAAGGGGGGCUAGCGUUGCUCGGAAUUACUGGGCGUAAAGGGCGCGUAGGCGGGUCGUUAAGUUGGGGGGUGAAAGCCCAGGGCUCAACCCUGGAAUUGCCUUCAAUACUGGCGACCUUGAGUAUGGCAGAGGUGUGUGGAACUCCGAGUGUAGAGGUGAAAUUCGUAGAUAUUAGGAAGAACACCAGUGGCGAAGGCGGCUCACUGGUCCGGUACUGACGCUGAGGUGCGAAAGCGUGGGGAGCAAACAGG